rnacentral:rRNA from 1 species
GACGAACCGUCCAAACGUUAUUCGGUAUCACUGGGCUUAAAGCGUGCGUAGGCGGCUUGGUAGGUGUGAUGUGAAAGCCCACGGCUCAACCGUGGAAUUGCGUCGCAAACCCCCAAGCUUGAGGAAGACAGGGGUGUUGGGAACUUAUGGUGGAGCGGUGAAAUGCGUUGAUAUCAUAGGGAACACCGGUGGCGAAGGCGCAACACUGGGUCUUUUCUGACGCUGAGGCACGAAAGCUAGGGUAGCGAAC